rnacentral:piRNA from 1 species
UAGGAAUAGGCCUGGUUCGUGAGUCUCCCU